rnacentral:rRNA from 1 species
UACAGAGGUCUCAAGCGUUGUUCGGAUUCAUUGGGCGUAAAGGGUGCGUAGGCGGCGCGGUAAGUCGGGUGUGAAAUCUCGGAGCUUAACUCCGAAACUGCACUUGAUACUGCCUUGCUCGAGUACUGGAGAGGAGAUUGGAAUUUACGGUGUAGCAGUGAAAUGCGUAGAUAUCGUAAGGAAGACCAGUGGCGAAGGCGAAUCUCUGGACAGUUACUGACACUGAGGCACGAAGGCCAGGGGAGCAAACGGG